rnacentral:misc_RNA from 1 species
AAGAUAUUGUGUCCUCGUUCUUUUUUGCUAGAUAUUGAAUUAUUUAUGCGGGGGAUGAGUAAAGUACUGCGAAGACGAGGCCCAAAUUUAAGUCUACUGCUGGACAUAAAGCCUCCAAAAAUCCCGGUUUUCCAUUUGAUAUAGCAGGCUGGAGGGUGUACCAUACUACGUUUGCCAACACGCAGUCCCCACUCUAGGACUCG